AAAGAAAUGUAGCCUCUCACAGGAAACAUCCUGAUCAGGCCCACCUGUGAAUGACUGCAGGAAGGAAGAAAUUAACACAUCCCCUCCAGAAGCUGACUGGAACCAGGAAAUGCUUGACUUUAUUCCCUCCCCUUUUAGUAUAAAAGAAGCCAGAAUUCUAACUCAGGCGAGAUGGUUCU